ACAUGUCAUAGAAAGGAUCUCUGCUGAUGCUGGCUCUGGGAAGAUUGGAGAGAAAACAUGACUGAGCAACCUAAUGCCGAUGUAAAAACUUGAAAUUCACCUGGGAGUGGAAAUAAAAAGCUCGCAGCUCUUUAUUUCGAAGAAUCGUCCAUUACUUGCCAAACUGCUGCUUGCUGGGAAGUGAGCCUUCACUGGGCAUGAGACCGUGCAGUUCGCAUCAAGGUGGAUGUAAUCAUUCGGAAUAAAGAGUCGGAUUCGUCUUCAUUCAAAGUACUGAUUUAUGCAUUCUUUAUGUCUUCCGUAGAACGAUGUGCGAGCUAUGCGCGAAUGCGGGCACGGCUCGAUUACCCUCCGCUUUGCCCUGCUCAUGUACGCACAAGCCGCCUCUUCCCCGCUAUAGAACGUCAUCAAAUAUUUACCGGCGCGUUGUUGUUAACGUGUUAGUCACCAGAGUGUGCUCGCACCCGGCCAGUGUGCGUCUCGGUGAAUAAUGGAUGUAAGCAGCUCUUUGCUCGUUCGCUCAUCUCCCGCACGCAAGCUGCGAUGUUUGCGUGAUGCGACUUGAAUCUGCUCGAUUCGCGGAUGCCGCAACUCUUGUCGAUGGCGUUCGCAUACCUGUGGACUGGA